rnacentral:rRNA from 1 species
GAUGAACGCUGGCGGCGUGCCUAAUACAUGCAAGUCGAGCGAACGGACGAUAAUCUUGCUUCUCUGAUGUUAGCGGCGGACGGGUGAGUAACACGUGGAUAACCUACCUAUAUUUCUGUUAUCACUUCGGGACACCGGAUCUAAUACCGUAUGAUCUUUUGAACCGCAUUGUUCAAAAGUGAAAUACGGUCUUGCUGUCUCUUAUAGCUGGAUCCGCGCUGCAUUAGCUAGUUUGUAAGGUCACGGCUUACCAAGGCAACGAUGCAUAGCCGAACUGAGAGAGUGAUAGGCGACAUGGGAAGUGAGACGCGGUCAAGACUACUAAGGGAGGCAGCAGUAGGGAACCGUCCGCAAUGGGCGAAAGCCUGACGGAGCAACGGCGAGCGAGUGAUGAAGGUCUUCGGAGCGUAAAACUCUGUUAUGAGGGAAGAACAUAUGUGUAAGUAACUGUGCACAUCUUGACGGUACCGAAUAAGAAAGCAACGGCUAACUACGUG